AUUGAACGCUGGCGGUAUGCUUAACACAUGCAAGUCGAACGGUAACAGCAGAGCUUGCUCUGGCUGACGAGUGGCGGACGGGUGCGUAACGCGUGGGAAUCUACCUUAUAGUGGGGGAUAGCCCGGAGAAAUCCGGAUUAAUACCGCAUAAGCCCUACGGGGGAAAAGGGGCCUCUCCUUGGAAGCUCUUGCUAUUAGAUGAGCCCGCGUAAGAUUAGCUUGUUGGUGGGGUAAUGGCCUACCAAGGCAACGAUCUUUAGCUGGUCUGAGAGGAUGAUCAGCCACACUGGGACUGAGACACGGCCCAG
rnacentral:rRNA from 1 species